GUCCUUGAUGAUCUGAUUCCAUGCCAUCUGUCCAACUUCAACUCCAACACUCACCCUCAGCCUUGCCAUCAUCUAUUGUUUCCUGACUUUUAAUAAUCAUCAUUCUGACUGGCGUGAGAUGGUAUCUCAUUGUGGUUUUGAUUUGCAUUUCUCUAAUGACCAGUGAUGAUGAGCCAUAUGCAGAAAACAGAAACUGGACCCCUUCCUUACUCCUUAUACAAAAAUUAACUCAAGAUGGAUUGAAGACUUAAAUGUAAAACCCAAAACCAUAGAAACCCUGGAAGAAAACCUAGGCAAUACCAUUCAGGACAUAGGCAUGGCCAAAGACUUCAUGACUAAAACACCGAAAGCAAUUGCAACAAUAACCAACAUUGACAAAUGAGAUCUAAUUAAACUAAAGAGCUUCUGCACAGCAAAAGAAACUAUCAUCAGAGUGAAAUGGCAACCUACAGAAUGGGAGAAAAUUUUUGCAAUCUACCCAUCUGAUAAAGGUCUAAUAUCUAGAAUCUACAAGGAACUUAAACAAAUUUACAAGAAAAAACAAACAACCCCAUCAAAAAGUGGGUGAAGGAUAUGAACAGACACUUCUCGAAGACAUGUAGGCAGCCAACAAAAAUCUGAGAAUUUGAAUUUCUAACAAGUUCCUGGGUAAUGCUACUGGUCUGCAGACUGCACUCUGAGAACAGCUGCAAGAUGAGGCACACUGACACAAAAUAAUUAAAAAAACAGGAAUUUCUAACCACUUACAAUGACCAAAUGUGAGAUGCAUAGAUUCUGAAAUGAUUAUCUGGGGAAUUGUAAACUCCAGCCAUGCUGUCCACCAUCUUGGGGCUUUUCAGAGAAUAUAGCCAAAGGCAAUAUGCCUGAAAUGUGGGUACUUUUGACAUUGGAUUUGCCAACAGGUCUUUUCUCCAUGAGGACCUCAGCACCCAACAUCUCCCCUCCCAGGUUCAACCUCAGACUAGUUACAAAGCUCCAAAAUGCGAAUGUCAAUGAAGUUGUCUAACUAUUUAAAGGCUAGGAAUGCACAUAUAAAGCAGUCACAAAAUAGUUUUACUUUUCUAAAUAAAAUAAUUGAGUAUCAUCCUUUUGUUAAGUACCUGCUCUUUACUAAAAUUUCAUGAUCUCAUUUUAAAACUUUACCCCUCUGGGCUAAAAAUCAGUGCAGAAGAUGAGAUGCUAUAACCUUUGAUUUAGCCUAAUAAAACAGUAACAAAUAACAUAUUGAGUGGGUGGUUAAAUCUGAUAAUAUUUUGUGCUGAAUUUUCUGUAGUAAUUCAAUUAAAAAUCCUAUUGGCCAGCCACCAGAAAGUAUACAGAUCACCAAAGUUUUAUAGCAUUCCAUAUUUAUUCUUAAAAUAGCCUAUAUUAAUUUGGUGCCUUUACUUACUAACUUAAAUACCUCAAGUAGAGUUUCUUCCAAAUAUAAUUUAGAAUAACCAUUUAUAUUUGUGCUGUUUAAAAAUCUCUGUUGGCUCAUGCCACUGCAGUCCUUAAAAUUCCCAUUAAAGAGAGAAAAAAACUAAUUAGAAAGAGAAUAUAUUACAAAAGCUGUAUUAAUAUGACCCCCACAAUAUUUCUUAAAGCUUCUGAAGAACCAAUUUACUCUGGCUCCUCUAUGCUUUCCUUCAAUUAGUAGGGCCCCCAGAAAAGCAAAAUUGCCACUCAAAGAAAGCUGAAGCCAUUCAGAAUCACUGAAUUGUUUGGUUGCAUUUAAUCCUGCCAGGGUUCCUAGCCAAGGAGUCAAUGAUCCUAGGCUCUCUUCAUGCCUUUUCCAAUGACAGCCUUGAAGCAUUCCAGAAAACUUUAGCACUUCCUUUUUUAACCAAAAAUUGCACAUAACUCUCCCAAAUUCUUAGUCUAUAAUUUCUCAUAAAACUCUUUGAGAUCCUCUUGUGAAGACAAAUGGCAAGGAUUAUUGGACUUUAAAUUGUGAUCCUUCAAUAUUAUAUGCACUAGAUCAUAACUCUAUGGCUUUGGUUCCCUCAUAAAACUAAACCACAGAGUCAUUCUUUUCAUUUCAAGCUUAACAGCACACAGGCCCAUGGGUGAAGCAAUAUAAACACUCUGGAGUAAUUUCUCAAAACCAAAUCUCUUCUCAAAAACAGACUAGCAACUCAGUGGUGUGUAAUCUCUCCUCUGAACCUGUGAAGUUUGUAGUUCUCAGGCCACCCAAGUAGAAUAAUGAGAAUAAUGUUCAUGUGUUAACGUGGGGCAGGCCUAAGAAUUUUCUGUAAUUACAGAACUGGGGGUUAGAACCAGUUCUACCAUUCUGUUGCCCCAGAUAAGUCACCAAGUCAGGUGAUUCCUUUUGGGGGAGAAAAGUGAAGUCUCAGGUUUACAGAUUUUUAUUUUUUACCUUAGUUCACAGAAUUUGUUUAAUCGAAAUCACUGGUUUAUGACACGCUCUGGCCAUUGGUCCAUGCAUGGCCCUCUUUUUUAAUUUAUUACUUUAAAUUGGCAUUUUUAACACACAUACUCUAAGGUAUAUAGCUGAGAAAAAAUUUUGCAAAAUAUGCACUGAAGUAUUCAUAUAAAUGUUCAUAGUUGUACUAUUACAAUAGCAAAAACCUGGAAAAAAUCAGAUGUCCAUUGUCAGGAUACUGUAGUAGACUUUCACAGGGGAAUAGUAAACAAGAGUCAAAUGAAUAAACUACAGCUAUUCACAACAAUAUGGAGUUAUUUAAUGUUUCUGAGUCUCUGUUUUGACCUCCUAAAUGAAGACAAUAUCAUUUACCUUAUUAUUUUCUGAAAAUAAAGCAGAUACUGUAGGCAAAAACCCUUAGAAAAUUAUAACUAGUAAAUGUUACUAUAACUAGUUAAUGUCACUUAUUUUCCUCCAUAUUCCCGAUCACUUCUCAGGUUGUACAAGAAUAAUCUGGAAACAUCACACUAAAGAAGAGGAAAGCAGUAUAAUCUGGAGGACUCAAAUUUAGAGUCACACCAAAGGGAUCCAAAUCCCUGAUUCAGCAAUUAUUUUCUGUGUGAACUCAGACACCUGCCUGGUCAGGUCACGAGGGAAGAAACUGGGACCUGAAACUAGACCUACCCAUCAGAGAGGAUGGCUCAGUUGCAGGUGCUGGGAGAAUGUCCAGUCUGGCAAGCAGAACAAAGUAUCUGAAGAAUAUGGCAGAACACAAGGAUUGAUAAUGCAGCCAGGAAAUUGGUAUCAGGAGGCAAACAUGAAAGAGCAGAAGUUCACUCAAUACGAAACCACGGCUUGGUGCCAAGAAGCAGCUAAACGUGUCCCAAAUUCAGGCAGGCAGCAUCAGAAAGCCUUAUCUACCAUAGUAGAGCCACAGUCAGACUGUGGAACAGGAGCUGGACCCCGGUGGCUAAGAGAGAGAAAGAAUGGCAAACGUAAGGUUGGGUCUUAGGUGUUCUUAGAGGACCUGGGCAGACCUGGCAAACUUUUAAAACAGGAACUCAAUUCUGGGUAAUGGGAGAAGAAUGCGGGUAUGAGAACUGCAGCAUAAGGUAGAUACUGAAUCCAAGGAACGAGAGACAUACAUGACUCUAGAAAUUACAGCAAAAGCCAAAGGCAGACCGGAAGCCAAACUAGCUUGAUGCUAAGGAAGAAAAGUAUUGGAUUGGAACUCCUUAAAUGCCUCCUCUCCCAGGUAAAGCCUGGCCACAGGGAGCUUAGAAGGCUGAGUGAACAGGCUGAAGUCAUGGUGAGCAGAGAGGUCUGCAGAGACUGGAAACUAGGAAGGACUUGACAAUAACAAGAUCAGGAAAACCAGGCCCAUAGUUCCAAUUUUGUAAUCAAUAUAAUUACCCUGAAACUUUCUAAGCAACAAGUAGCAGCACUCUUAUUUAAAUCAAAUCUCGCACGUAUAAUUAAGAAAAUCCAUGUAUGUUUGUUUUAAUGAAUUUGACCUAUAGUAACAAGAUGGGUUAUUUUUGCUGCUCAGUCCACUGUCCACAGAAGAUGAAAAAUAAAAGUAACCCUUUUCCUAUUUUUCUCUCCUUUUCAUUAGUGUGUAAAUUUAACCUAUGAAAAUGAAUUGCCUUUCUGAAUUUCUUCUCAUCUCUGAAAUACAAAGAUGUCUCUCUCUAAAAAAACAGUAAAUACAUUUUUUAAGUUUUUGUCAUUCUUCUGAGAGCAACAUCUUCUAACAGGGCCCUAAAGCAUUGAACCCUAAUAAUAAAAAUGCAAUAUAAAAGUUAUUAAUGUAUUUAGCACACCACUAUGUGUUACUACCUGCCACAAAGUGACACUCACACACAAAAUGUCUGUCAUACCCAUGGCCCAAUUCACUUUGGAGAAGAAUCACCAAAUAGCCAUCCUUGGAAGUCAAGGAUCUCCUCUUUUGGUAUGAACACUCAUAAGAUGAAGACAGAGUAGUUUCAUAAGCCAAACAUGCCCAUUUCUGUUGUGACAGCCUACCCCUA
rnacentral:lncRNA from 1 species